GGCCCAACACAGCAAAAAAAAAAAAAAAAAAAGAAUUCAUCAUCCAUUUUUCAGUAUGCUUUGAGAAUUUAAGCUAUUUCUUUUUAUAAGAAUAAACAAAUCCAAGCUGUCAUCUGGGGAAGAGUUUCAUAAAUUAAACAAGAAAAUAAUUUGAAAAAAGAUAAAGCGCAAAUCACACUGAGACUCAAACAUAAGCAACAACCACAAGACAGCCAAUGGGAGCUCAGAAUGAAAGUUAUGUUGCUUCAGCCCUCUACAUUCCCAUCUUCAAACAAUAGGUAUGUGCCCAUCUUUGGCAAAUCAGCUCUGUAGUAACUGGACUCUGACUUAUUCUCUGUGGUAUCAUCGGCACCAGGCCCCGUGUAAUCACUCAACAGGUAAUUUUAACUAAAGCAGUUUCUUAGAUUUUCUCCUCCUACUGGAAGGCAUUUGCAAAUGACCAAGCUAUUUUGCUUCAUCAGGGCCAUAUUUGCUGGGAUUAUAAUCGACAAUGGCUAAUAUUUCCACUCUUCCCUUACUGGUAUCAGUCAUGCCUACUGAGUUUAUUGCUAAAACCACUAGGAUUAUGUUUCCUUUAAGGUGCAUAUGGCUCUGGGGAUUUAAGUUGCAGCACAAUUUUCAGCCUUUUCCUGGCACUAUAUUAAACUCAUGAGGAUGGCCUCAUCUCUAAUUUGCCCUCUACUAGGUUAAGAACUAGCCUGGUGUCAUAUACAGAGCCACCUAUCUGAACUCAGACUCUCCCUGAAUCUCACAGCUCACAGUAACCAGACACAUAUUACUCCUUAGUGGAUCUUUAUUUUUUUUUUUUAAUUUUAUUUUUUUUUAAAGACUG